UACGUAGGGUCCGAGCGUUGUCCGGAGUUACUGGGCGUAAAGCGCGCGCAGGCGGCGGUGCUGGCCCGGCGUGAAAGCCCCCGGCUCAACUGGGGAGGGUCACGCGAUACUGAUCGACUCGAAGGCAGGAGAGGGUAGUGGAAUUCCCGGUGUAGUGGUGAAAUGCGUAGAUAUCGGGAGGAACACCAGUGGCGAAGGCGACUACCUGGCCUGUUCUUGACGCUGAGGCGCGAAAGCUAGGGGAGCAAACGGG
rnacentral:rRNA from 1 species